GAGGUGGUAGAGGAGCGGUAGAGAGGUGCUUGCACCUCUUGAGAGCGGCGGACGGGUGAGUAAAGCCUAGGAGUCUGCCUGGUAGUGGGGGAUAACGCUCGGAAACGGACGCUAAUACCGCAUACGUCCUACGGGAGAAAGCAGGGGACCUUCGGGCCUUGCGCUAUCAGAUGAGCCUAGGUCGGAUUAGCUAGUUGGUGAGGUAAUGGCUCACCAAGGCGACCAUCCGUAGGUGGUCUGAGAGGAUGAUCAGUCACACUGGAACUGAGACACGGUCCAGACUCCUACGGGAGGCAGCAGUGGGGAAUAUUGGACAAUGGGCGAAAGCCUGAUCCAGCCAUGCCGCGUGUGUGAAGAAGGUCUUCGGAUUGUAAAGCAGUUUAAGUUGGGAGGAAGGGCAUUAACCUAAUACGUUAGUGUUUUGACGUUACCGACAGAAUAAGCACCGGCCAACUCUGUGCCAGCAGCCGCGGUAAUACCGAGGGUGCAAGCGUUAAUCGGAAUUACUGGGCGUAAAGCGCGCGUAGGUGGUUCGUUAAGUUGGAUGUGAAAUCCCCGCGGCUCAACCUGGGAACUGCAUUCAAAACUGUCGAGCUAGAGUAUGGUAGAGGGUGGUGGAAUUUCCUGUGUAGCGGUCAAAUGCGUUAUAUAGGAAGGAAC
rnacentral:rRNA from 1 species